GGGCGAAUGGUUUAGGGGUAUAACGUUCGCUUCGCACUGUGCCACAAGCACGACGUCGAUUGCGAAAGGUCCGGGGUUCGAUUCCCCGUUUGUCCA
rfam:Magnaporthe poae ATCC 64411 unplaced genomic scaffold supercont1.5, whole genome shotgun sequence.